rnacentral:rRNA from 1 species
CCUGGUUGAUCCUGCCAGUAGUCAUAUGCUUGUCUCAAAGAUUAAGCCAUGCAUGUCUAAGUAUAAACAAAUUUAUACUGAAAACUGCGAAUGGCUCAUUAAAUCAGUUAUAGUUUAUUUGAUAAUAUCUUACUACUUGGAUAACCGUGGUAAUUCUAGAGCUAAUACAUGCACAUAGUCCCGACUUUUUGGAAGGGAUGUAUUUAUUAGAUAAAAAACCAAUCCAGUGUUUACACUGGUUUUGAUGACUCAUAAUAACUUGACGAAUCGCAUUGCUUUAUGCAGGCGAUGAAUCAUUCAAAUUUCUGCCCUAUCAGCUUUCGAUGGUAGGAUAGAGGCCUACCAUGGCGGUAACGGGUAACGGAGAAUUAGGGUUCGAUUCCGGAGAGGGAGCCUGAGAAACGGCUACCACAUCCAAGGAAGGCAGCAGGCGCGCAAAUUACCCAAUCUCAACACGAGGAGGUAGUGACAAUAAAUAACAAUACAGGGCUUUUUCAAGUCUUGUAAUUGGAAUGAGUACAAUUUAAAUCCCUUAACGAGUAUCAAUUGGAGGGCAAGUCUGGUGCCAGCAGCCGCGGUAAUUCCAGCUCCAAUAGCGUAUAUUAAUGUUGUUGCAGUUAAAAAGCUCGUAGUUGGAUUUCGAGAUUGGUUAGCAGGUCUGCCUUUUGGUAUGUACUUGUUAGCCAGUUUCUUUGUCCGGGUAGAGGUCUGGCUUUCGGGUCGGGCCGCUGUUCGGGCCAAUUACUUUGAAAAAAUUAGAGUGUUCAAAGCAGGCUUAUGCUUGAAUAUAUUAGCAUGGAAUAAUGGAAUAGGACUUGAGUUCUAUUUUGUUGGUUUCUAGAACCCAAGUAAUGGUUAAUAGGGAUAGUUGGGGGCAUUAAUAUUUAAUUGUCAGAGGUGAAAUUCUUGGAUUUAUGAAAGAUUAACUUCUGCGAAAGCAUUUGCCAAGGAUGUUUUCAUUAAUCAAGAGCGAAAGUGUGGGGAGCGAAGCCGAUUAGACACCGACGUAGUCCACACCCUAAACAAUGCCGACUAGGGAUUGGAGAGUGUUAUUUUAUGACUUCUUCAGCACCUUCCGAGAAAUCAAAGUUUUUGGGUUCUGGGGGGAGUAUGGUCGCAAGGCUGAAACUUAAAGGAAUUGACGGAAGGGCACCACCAGGAGUGGAGCCUGCGGCUUAAUUUGACCCAACACGGGAAAACUUACCAGGUCCAGACAUAGUAAGGAUUGACAGAUUGAGAGCUCUUUCUUGAUUCUAUGGGUGGUGGUGCAUGGCCGUUCUUAGUUGGUGGAGUGAUUUGUCUGCUUAAUUGCGAUAACGAACGAGACCUUAACCUACUAAAUAGUUACACGUAUCCUAGAUACGUGGCCAACUUCUUAGAGGGACAAUGUGAGUCAAUCAUAUGGAAGUUUGAGGCAAUAACAGGUCUGUGAUGCCCUUAGAUGUUCUGGGCCGCACGCGCGC